GGGUUUACCCAUUGGUCAGGCUUAAUUGUCUGUACUGGUGAGAUAAAUCUCUACCUUCUGAGGAACUUUCAUGUCAUUAAUUUGGUGUGAUUGGAAAUCAGGACUGUUACUUUGAAAAAAUUGGAGUGUUUAAAGCAGGCUUUCAAGCUUGAACAUAUUAGCAUGGAAUAAUGAAAUAGG
rnacentral:rRNA from 1 species